ACCGGGCCAUGAAUGCUAUUUUUAACACAAUGUCGUUGAGCUACAGGAAGACUAGAUUAAAUCAUUCCUGCUUCUCUCCUCCAUGUUUUGUCCAGGUUCCUAGAAAGGUUGGCCCCAAACUUCAGGCCCCAGGUGUCUGGCUUUUUACUAGAUUUAGUGAAUUCCUUAAAACAAAUGAUACCUCCAUAUAUUGGUUGCUAGCUUAUAGAAGAUAGGGUUUUUUCCCCUUAAUUCCUCAACUGAUUUUUCUAGAGAUUCCUGAUGGAUAAACUUCCCAUGACACACUGGACAAGAAUGCUGAAAUCGCAGUGCAGGAUCCUGUGGGAGCCAUUCUCACCUUUGCUGCUGGAACUUUCUCACACUUGUCUUAUGCUACUUCAGUACUGCAGUGAAGAGAUUAGUAGAUCUUCUUCAUAAAUGGUGUUGGAAUGAAGGAGAGCCAGGAUUCCCACCCGCUGUAGAGACAAAUGGUGCUGUAUUGAGCUGUUCUUGUGGACUGUGCCUGGGGAGUGGCAGAAAAACUCAAGAAAAGAAAUAAUUCUCUGCCUUGUCCUUUUCACCUGUGUCAUCUCCUUUACUCAUACUCCCUGAGAACAACAGGAAGGAAACAAAAUGGAACAGAAGAAGGAAUCCAAAGAGAGACAUUAGAAGAGGUACAGGUCUGUGAAUUGAAGAAAUGGGAAGUUUUAAAACAUCCUAUUCUACCAGUGGAUGCGAGAACCCCUUGCUCUGUGUUACACUUGGUAAAUAACACCACGGGUUGCUUUCAGUGACCGUGAGAGUUCUUCGGAUUCCAACUUGCAGAAUGUUCCUCGGGGACCCUGCGAUGCCCAAGUAGGGGAAUGGUCAGUUUUGGGGUCGAGCUGGUGAGGCCUGUCUGGGGUGGCUCUCCCUGGGAGCAGGUCCCAGAAGCUACCGUUCCCCGUCGGGUUCUGUGACUUCUUCCAGUCUCUUUACUCCUUCCUGCCACAUUUUGACUGGUUUCAAUGGAGCAGAAUCAGGCAUGUCUCUGUGGAACACGCUCAGAGGUUUUGGAGGAUGUCUUGCGUACCCCUUUUUUAACCUGGGUGAGGACCUGCGUACCCGGUGAGGACCUUGGGUUUUCUGGGACAUACUCAGAAGAUGGAUGAAAAAGACACGUGGUAUUCAAAAAUCUGCCGACCUGUUUGAAUUUGCCUAAGACUGUGAGGUGCCCCUUCUUCCAUGGUGCCCUGCACUGUGUCCUUCAAGCCUUUGUUGAGUGUCAGUGGUGGAUGCUGAAGGAAUUGUUUCUUCUUACAUCUAACCGAGAACUCCAGAAAAGAUUCAGUUAUGCUUCCAGAACUAUCUGGCAACAGAUCUUCCUCCUACUUACCCACCCUUUCAUUAGUAUCCCGUUCUCACACUUGGCUGGAGGAUGAUAAGACAUGUCAACCCUAUUCUUUUUUUUUUU